rnacentral:rRNA from 1 species
GAGUUUGAUCUUGGCUCAGGACGAACGCUGGCGGCGUGCUUAACACAUGCAAGUCGAACGGUAAGGCUCCAGCUUGCUGGGGUACACGAGUGGCGAACGGGUGAGUAACACGUGGGUGACCUGCCCUGCACUUCGGGGAUAAGCCUGGGAAACUGGGUCUAAUACCGGAUAGGACCGCACCGUGAGGGUGUGGUGGAAAGUUUUUUCGGUGUGGGAUGGGCCCGCGGCCUAUCAGCUUGUUGGUGGGGUAAUGGCCUACCAAGGCGGCGACGGGUAGCCGGCCUGAGAGGGUGGACGGCCACAUUGGGACUGAGACACGGCCCAGACUCCUACGGGAGGCAGCAGUGGGGAAUAUUGCACAAUGGGCGGAAGCCUGAUGCAGCGACGCCGCGU